rnacentral:rRNA from 1 species
ACGAACGCUGGCGGUGUGCUUCACACAUGCCAGUCGAACGGUAAGGCCCUUUCGGGGGUACCCGAGUGGCGAACGGGUGAGUAACACGUGAGUAACCUGCCCUCAUCUCUGGGAUAACAGUCGGAAACGGUUGCUAAUACUGGAUAUGAGCUUGCAAGGCAUCUUGUGGGUUGGAAAGAUUUUUUUUGGUUGGGGAUGGACUCGCGGCCUAUCAGCUUGUUGGUGAGGUAGUGGCUCACCAAGGCUUCGACGGGUAGCCGGCCUGAGAGGGCGACCGGCCACAUUGGGACUGAGAUACGGCCCAAACUCCUACGGGAGGCAGCAGUGGGGAAUAUUGCACAAUGGACGGAAGUCUGAUGCAGCAACGCCGCGUGCGGGAUGACGGCCUUCGGGUUGUAAACCGCUUUCAAUUGUGACGAAGCUUUUUUGUGACGGUAGCAGUAGAAGAAGCACCGGCUAACUACGUG